GAUGAACGCUGGCGGCGUGCCUAAUACAUGCAAGUCGAACGGACGGACGCUAAGCUUGUUUCUCUCUUGUUAGCUGCGGGCGUGUGUGUCACGCGUGUAUCACCUACUUAUCUUUCUGGGAUAAUUACGGGAAACCGGAUCUAAUACCGUAUAAUAUUUUGCACCGCAUGGUUCAAUGGAGAAUGUCGGCCUUGCUGUCUCUAAUAGCUGCUUCCGCGCUGCAUUAGCUAGUUGGUACGUUCACGGCCUACCAAGGCUACGAUGCAUAGCCGACCUGAGGGGGUGAUCGGCGACACGGGAAGUGAAACGGCGUCAAGAGUCCUAAGGGAGGGAGCAGUAGGGAAUCGUCCGCAGUGGGCGAAAGCAUGACGGAACGAGGCCGCGUGAGUGAUGGAGGUCUUCGGAUCGUAAAACUCGGUUAUGAGGGAAGAACAGAUGUGGAAGUAACUGUGCAGAGCUUGACGGUAACGAAUCAGAAAGCCACGGCUAACUACGUG
rnacentral:rRNA from 1 species